GACGAACGCUGGCGGCGUGCCUAAUACAUGCAAGUCGUGCGAACCACUUCGGUGGUGAGCGGCGGACGGGUGAGUAACACGUGGGCAAUCUGCCCGACAGACCGGGAUAACGCUUGGAAACGAGUGCUAAUACCGGAUACGCUCUUGAAUCGCAUGGUUCGAGAGGGAAAGCUGCCUUUGCAGCACUGUCGGAUGAGCCCGCGGCGCAUUAGCUAGUUGGUGAGGUAACGGCUCACCAAGGCGACGAUGCGUAGCCGACCUGAGAGGGUGACCGGCCACACUGGGACUGAGACACGGCCCAGACUCCUACGGGAGGCAGCAGUAGGGAAUCUUCCGCAAUGGGCGCAAGCCUGACGGAGCAACGCCGCGUGAGUGAUGAAGGCCUUCGGGUUGUAAAACUCUGUCUUCUGUGGAGAACAAGCCUAUGAAGAGAAUGCUUAGGCCCUGACGGUAACAGAGGAGGAAGCCCCGGCUAACUACGUGCCAGCCGCCGCGGUAA
rnacentral:rRNA from 1 species